rnacentral:rRNA from 1 species
GGGGGUGGCCCCCGGCCGAGGGGAGCCCCUAGCACAGGUGCUGCAUGGCCGUCGUCAGCUCGUGCCGUGAGGUGUUGGGUUAAGUCCCGCAACGAGCGCAACCCCCGCCGUUAGUUGCCAGCGGUUCGGCCGGGCACUCUAACGGGACUGCCCGCGAAAGCGGGAGGAAGGAGGGGACGACGUCUGGUCAGCAUGGCCCUUACGGCCUGGGCGACACACGUGCUACAAUGCCCACUACAAAGCGAUGCCACCCGGCAACGGGGAGCUAAUCGCAAAAAGGUGGGCCCAGUUCGGAUUGGGGUCUGCAACCCGACCCCAUGAAGGCGGAAUCGCUAGUAAUCGCGGAUCAGCAUGCCGCGGUGAAUACGUUCUCGGGGUUU